GACGAACCGUGCGAACGUUAUUCGGAAUCACUGGGCUUAAAGCGCGUGUAGGCGGGCGGGAACGUCGGUUGCUGAAAGCCCCGGCUCAACCGAGGAACUGCGCCCAGUACUGCGUUGCUUGAGGAUCCAAGGGGUGCAUGGAAUUCCCGGUGGAGCGGUGAAAUGCGUUGAUAUCGGGAGGAACUCCGGCGGCGAAAGCGGUGCACUGGUGGAUUACUGACGCUGAGGUGCGAAAGCCAGGGGAGCAAACGGG
rnacentral:rRNA from 1 species